GAUGAACGCUGGCGGCGUGCCUAAUACAUGCAAGUCGAGCGAACAGACGAGGAGCUUGCUCCUCUGACGUUAGCGGCGGACGGGUGAGUAACACGUGGAUAACCUACCUAUAAGGCUGGGAUAACUUCGGGAAACCGGAGCUAAUACCGGAUAAUAUAUUGAACCGCAUGGUUCAAUAGUGAAAGACGGUUUUGCUGUCACUUAUAGAUGGAUCCGCGCCGCAUUAGCUAGUUGGUAAGGUAACGGCUUACCAAGGCAACGAUGCGUAGCCGACCUGAGAGGGUGAUCGGCCACACUGGAACUGAGACACGGUCCAGACUCCUACGGGAGGCAGCAGUAGGGAAUCUUCCGCAAUGGGCGAAAGCUUGACGGAGCAACGCCGCGUGAGUGAUGAAGGUCUUCGGAUCGUAAAACUCUGUUAUUAGGGAAGAACAAAUGUGUAAGUAACUAUGCACGUCUUGACGGUACCUAAUCAGAAAGCCACGGCUAACUACGAG
rnacentral:rRNA from 1 species